rnacentral:rRNA from 1 species
AGAACGAACGCUGGCGGCAGGCCUAACACAUGCAAGUCGAACGCUGUAGCAAUACAGAGUGGCAGACGGGUGAGUAACGCGUGGGAACCUUCCCAGUGGUGCGGAAUAGCUCAGGGAAACUUGAGGUAAUACCGCAUAAGCCCUUAGGGGGAAAGAUUUAUCGCCAUUGGAUGGGCCCGCGUCGGAUUAGCUAGUUGGUGAGGUAAUGGCUCACCAAGGCAACGAUCCGUAGCUGGUUUGAGAGAAUGACCAGCCACACUGGGACUGAGACACGGCCCAGACUCCUACGGGAGGCAGCAGUGGGGAAUCUUGGACAAUGGGCGCAAGCCUGAUCCAGCCAUGCCGCGUGAGUGACGAAGGCCUUAGGGUUGUAAAGCUCUUUUGCCGGGGACGAUAAUGACGGUACCCGGAGAAUAAGUCCCGGCUAACUUCGUGCCAGCAGCCGC